CCUGUUUAUAUGUAUGUGCAUGUAGUGUAUGUAUACAAGUACUUAUGUGUGUACAUACUACUGGUUAUGUCCGUCACGGGACACAACAUGGAACUAUCUAGUCUUUCAUGGAACAAUGUAAUUCUCAGGCAGGUUACUGAUGCCACAAUGGUGCUAAAACGCGAGCUCGCGAUUAGCAUCCGCUAGCUGAACGGCGCUAUAAUAAUUAACUGUCUUCUCUUUAACUACUACACACUUAAUAACUAUCAAAAUGUAUCACCGCCGAAGCGAGCGAACAUAACUUUAAUAUAUAUAUGGCGCUUGUGAAUGUUUCUCACCUGUAAACACAAGACAGACUCACAUUAAUAGCUGGUCACUGUCUGUGAUAUGCUGGUCUAACUUGUUUGUUAAGACUAGAAUGACGGCGCCAGUCAUGGAAAACCCGCUACUGCCCCUACUGGCGAACACGAGUAUCGCCCUGCAGCAACUUCAGGUGAAAGCAGGCCUGUACACCAAGUCCAUCGUUCCUGCGAAGACUCGCAGCAGAAGACGCUACGCCAGGUUCACGAACUCUGUACCGGACUCUGGCAACUGGAAUUCAGCCAGGAAACCACAUGGGGACCCCACUGGACCACUGCCAAGGGGGACUUGGGACCACUAAGGACCAGUGGAGGGCUGAACAGGAGCCGGAGCGAGCUGCAAUUCAUAAUACAAUACAGCAAAAAAAGUAAUAAGAAAGUCAAUGUUUAGUAUGUCAUAAAAAGUCAUAACAAAGCCAUAGAAUAGUUGGGAGAAAAAGUGAUAGAAAACUAAUAAAAAAGACAUUAAAAAGUCAGAGUAUAUACAG